GAUGAACGCUAGCGGGAGGCUUAACACAUGCAAGUCGAGGGGCAGCACGAUGUAGCAAUACGUUGGUGGCGACCGGCGCACGGGUGAGUAACACGUAUGUAACCUACCCUUAACAGGGGGAUAACCCGGAGAAAUUCGGACUAAUACCCCAUAAUGAUAUAAUGAGGCAUCUCGUUAUAUUUAAAGUUUCGGCGGUACGAGAUGGGCAUGCGUGACAUUAGCUAGUUGGUAAGGUAACGGCUUACCAAGGCUACGAUGUCUAGGGGUCCUGAGAGGGUGAUCCCCCACACUGGUACUGAGACACGGACCAGACUCCUACGGGAGGCAGCAGUGAGGAAUAUUGGUCAAUGGGCGUAAGCCUGAACCAGCCAUCCCGCGUGAAGGAAGAAGGCGCUAUGCGUUGUAAACUUCCUUUCCGGAGGAAUAAAAUUUCGUACGCGUACGGGACUGAAGGUACUCCGGGAAUAAGCAUCGGCUAACUCCGUGCCAGCCGCCGCCGUAACAC
rnacentral:rRNA from 1 species